GCCGCUAUCGUCUAAUGGUCAGGACGUCAGGUUCUCAUCCUGGAAAUCGGGGUUCGAUUCCCCGUAGCGGUA
rnacentral:tRNA from 1 species